GGACCUCGAUAACUCCUUCCCCAAUUCCCUGGUCUGAGGAGAGAGUCUGUGCAUAAUAAACAGGGGGCUGCUACCAACAACCUGCUGAAGUUUCACCCUGGAAGGAGAGUCCCUCGGAGGUGUCAGGUGCUACCAGGAUAAGUACAUAUUCUCUCACAUUGUAACCUUCAGUUCUUCUAAGUGAGAAGGCAUUCCUAACUGCACCGUUCUGGAUGCAUUAGUCUUUGGUUGAGACUAACUCUUACUGUGUGCCCAAGGCUGGACUCAGACUUAAGCAUGCUGACAUUACAGGUCUCCUACCAGCCUGAGCCCUGGUGUCAGUAACCCCCAGCCUCUUCGAAAGAUUACAAGAAAGACAUUGUCUCUUCUGAGCCUGGGAAAAGAAAAAUAAGAUUUCAAGAAGCACCCUGAUAGUAAAGAGCUUGAGAAGACAGACUCGGCCUUCCAGAAGGGACGGACGGGAUGGGACUCAGGAAAGGGAAAGAAACAGAAGCUAUGACCACAGUACAGAGUACUGAUUAAAGGAAAGGAGCAGAGCA
rnacentral:lncRNA from 1 species